rnacentral:rRNA from 1 species
CUUGGUCAUUUAGAGGAAGUAAAAGUCGUAACAAGGUUUCCGUAGGUGAACCUGCGGAAGGAUCAUUACAAGUGAGGCUACCGAACGUUGGAAACAGCGGUUAGGAGCUUACACCCACCCGUGUUUACAUACUAUUGUUGCUUUGGCGGGCCGUGGCCUCCACUGCGGGCUCUGCUCGUGUGUGCCCGCCAGAGAACCAAACUCUGAAUGUUAGUGAUGUCUGAGUACUAUCUAAUAGUUAAAACUUUCAACAACGGAUCUCUUGGUUCUGGCAUCGAUGAAGAACGCAGCGAAAUGCGAUAAGUAAUGUGAAUUGCAGAAUUCAGUGAAUCAUCGAAUCUUUGAACGCACAUUGCGCCCUGUGGUAUUCCGCAGGGCAUGCCUGUUCGAGCGUCAUUUAACCACUCACGCCUAGCGUGGCUAUUGGGGCACGCGGUCUCCGCGGCCCUCAAAAUCAGUGGCGGCGCCGGUGGGCUCUAAGCGUAGUACAUACUCCCGCUAUAGAGUUCCCCCCGGUGGCUCGCCAGAACCCCCAAUUUUUUACAGGUUGACCUCGGAUCAGGUAGGGAUACCCGCUGAACUUAAGCAUAUCAAUAAGCGGAGGA